rnacentral:rRNA from 1 species
CCUACGGGUGGCAGCAGUGGGGAAUAUUGGACAAUGGGGGGAACCCUGAUCCAGCCAUGCCGCGUGUGUGAAGAAGGCCCUCGGGUUGUAAAGCACUUUCAGUGAGGAAGAACGCCUGGUGGUUAAUACCCAUCAGGAAAGACAUCACUCACAGAAGAAGCACCGGCUAACUCCGUGCCACCAGCCGCGGUAAUACGGAGGGUGCGAGCGUUAAUCGGAAUUACUGGGCGUAAAGCGCGCGUAGGUGGCUUGAUAAGCCGGUUGUGAAAGCCCCGGGCUCAACCUGGGAACGGCAUCCGGAACUGUCAAGCUAGAGUGCAGGAGAGGAAGGUAGAAUUCCCGGUGUAGCGGUGAAAUGCGUAGAGAUCGGGAGGAAUACCAGUGGCGAAGGCGGCCUUCUGGACUGACACUGACACUGAGGUGCGAAAGCGUGGGUAGCAAACAGGAUUAGAUACCCUGGUAGUC